rnacentral:rRNA from 1 species
UGAGGAAUUUUCGGCAAUGGGGGCAACCCUGACCGAGCAACGCCGCGUGCAGGAAGACGGCCUUCGGGUUGUAAACUGCUUUUCUCUGGGACGAGCAAGGACGGUACCAGAGGAAUCAGCCUCGGCUAACUACGUGCCAGCAGCCGCGGUAAUACGUAGGAGGCGAGCGUUGUCCGGAGUUACUGGGCGUAAAGCGCAUGCAGGCGGUCGUCAAAGUCUGUGAUGACAGUUCCCGGCUCAACUGGGGAAGUGUUAUGGAUACUGGAUGACUUGAGGGCUUCAGAGGGAUGCGGAACUCCGGGUGGAGUGGUGAAAUGCGUAGAUAUCCGGAAGAACACCAAAGGCGAAGGCAGCAUCCUGGGAAGCAUCUGACGCUCAGAUGCGAAAGCUAGGGGAGCGAACGGGAUUAGAUACCCCCGUAGUCC